GGGGUGUAUUUAUUAGAUUAAAAGCCAAUGCCCCCCGGGGCCCCUUGGUGAUUCAUGAUAACUCCUCGAAUCGCACGGCCUUGCGCCGGCGAUGGUUCAUUCAAAUUUCUGCCCUAUCAACUUUCGACGGCUGGGUCUUGGCCAGCCGUGGUGACAACGGGUAACGGAGGGUUAGGGCUCGACCCCGGAGAAGGAGCCUGAGAAACGGCUACUACAUCCAAGGAAGGCAGCAGGCGCGCAAAUUACCCAAUCCCGACGCGGGGAGGUAGUGACAAUAAAUACUGAUACAGGGCUCUUUCGGGUCUUGUAAUUGGAAUGAGUACAAUUUAAUUCCCUUAACGAGGAACAAUUGGAGGGCAAGUCUGGUGCCAGCAGCCGCGGUAAUUCCAGCUCCAAUAGCGUAUAUUAAAGUUGUUGCAGUUAAAAAGCUCGUAGUUGAACCUUGGGCCUGGCUGGCCGGUCCGCCUCACCGCGUGCACUGGUCCGGCCGGGCCUUUCCCUCUGGGGAACCGCAUGCCCUUCGCUGGGCGUGCCGGGGAACCAGGACGUUUACUUUGAAAAAAUUAGAGUGUUCAAAGCAGGCUUAUGCUCGGAUACAUUAGCAUGGAAUAAUGGAAUAGGACGUGCGGUUCUAUUUUGUUGGUUUCUAGGACCGCCGUAAUGAUUAAUAGGGACAGUCGGGGGCAUCCGUAUUCAGUUGUCAGAGGUGAAAUUCUUGGAUCUACUGAAGACGAACUACUGCGAAAGCAUUUGCCAAGGAUGUUUUCAUUAAUCAGGAACGAAAGUUAGGGGAUCGAAGACGAUCAGAUACCGUCGUAGUCUUAACCAUAAACUAUGCCGACUAGGGAUCGGACGGUGUUGC
rnacentral:rRNA from 1 species